rnacentral:rRNA from 1 species
AGAGUUUGAUCAUGGCUCAGAUUGAACGCUGGCGGCAUGCCUUACACAUGCAAGUCGGACGGCAGCGCGGGGGCAACCCUGGCGGCGAGUGGCGAACGGGUGAGUAAUACAUCGGAACGUGUCCUGGAGUGGGGGAUAGCCCGGCGAAAGCCGGAUUAAUACCACAUACGCUCUGAGGAGGAAAGCGGGGGAUCUUCGGACCUCGCGCUCAAGGGGCGGCCGAUGGCAGAUUAGGUAGUUGGUGGGGUAAAGGCCUACCAAGCCGACGAUCUGUAGCUGGUCUGAGAGGACGACCAGCCACACUGGGACUGAGACACGGCCCAGACUCCUACGGGAGGCAGCAGUGGGGAAUUUUGGACAAUGGGGGCAACCCUGAUCCAGCAAUGCCGCGUGUGUGAAGAAGGCCUUCGGGUUGUAAAGCACUUUUGUCCGGAAAGAAAGCUUCUGGGUUAAUACCCCGGGAGGAUGACGGUACCGGAAGAAUAAGCACCGGCUAACUACGUGCCAGCAGCCGCGGUAAUACGUAGGGUGCGAGCGUUAAUCGGAAUUACUGGGCGUAAAGCGUGCGCAGGCGGUGCUGUAAGACCGAUGUGAAAUCCCCGGGCUUAACCUGGGAACUGCAUUGGUGACUGCAGCGCUGGAGUAUGGCAGAGGGGGGUGGAAUUCCACGUAGCAGUGAAAUGCGUAGAGAUGUGGAGGAACACCGAUGGCGAAGGCAGCCCCCUGGGCCAAUACUGACGCUCAUGCACGAAAGCGUGGGGAGCAAACAGGAUUAGAUACCCCGGUAGUCC